GAUCAUGCUCAGGAUGAACGCUAGCUACAGGCUUAACACAUGCAAGUCGAGGGGCAUCAGGGUGUAGCAAUACACCGCUGGCGACCGGCGCACGGGUGAGUAACACGUAUCCAACCUGCCCUUUACUCGGGGAUAGCCUUUCGAAAGAAAGAUUAAUACCCGAUGGUAUAACAUGACCUCCUGGUUUUGUUAUUAAAGAAUUUCGGUAGAGGAUGGGGAUGCGUUCCAUUAGGCAGUUGGCGGGGUAACAG
rnacentral:rRNA from 1 species